CCUACGGGAGGCUGCAGUGGGGAAUAUUGGACAAUGGGGGCAACCCUGAUCCAGCCAUGCCGCGUGUGUGAAGAAGGCCCUCGGGUUGUAAAGCACUUUCAGUGAGGAAGAACGCCUGGUGGUUAAUACCCAUCAGGAAAGACAUCACUCACAGAAGAAGCACCGGCUAACUCCGUGCCAGCAGCGCGGUAAUACGGAGGGUGCGAGCGUUAAUCGGAAUUACUGGGCGUAAAGCGCGCGUAGGUGGCUUGAUAAGCCGGUUGUGAAAGCCCCGGGCUCAACCUGGGAACGGCAUCCGGAACUGUCAAGCUAGAGUGCAGGAGAGGAAGGUAGAAUUCCCGGUGUAGCGGUGAAAUGCGUAGAGAGCGGGAGGAAUACCAGUGGCGAAGGCGGCCUUCUGGACUGACACUGACACUGAGGUGCGAAAGCGUGGGUAGCAAACAGGAUUAGAUACCCCAGUAGUC
rnacentral:rRNA from 1 species